UGGGUUGCAGUGAUUAUAAAAAAAAGAAAUACUUAAUUGUUUCUGAAUGCUGUAUCCAUGGCAUGAUAGACUCUUGUUACACCCAUAGAAUAUGAGCAACC